AUACAUGCAGUCGAACGCUUUGUGGUUCAACUGAUUUGAAGAGCUUGCUCAGAUAUGACGAUGGACAUUGCAAAGAGUGGCGAACGGGUGAGUAACACGUGGGAAACCUACCUCUUAGCAGGGGAUAACAUUUGGAAACAGAUGCUAAUACCGUAUAACAAUAGCAACCGCAUGGUUGCUACUUAAAAGAUGGUUCUGCUAUCACUAAGAGAUGGUCCCGCGGUGCAUUAGUUAGUUGGUGAGGUAAUGGCUCACCAAGACGAUGAUGCAUAGCCGAGUUGAGAGACUGAUCGGCCACAAUGGGACUGAGACACGGCCCAUACUCCUACGGGAGGCAGCAGUAGGGAAUCUUCCACAAUGGGCGAAAGCCUGAUGGAGCAACGCCGCGUGUGUGAUGAAGGGUUUCGGCUCGUAAAACACUGUUGUAAGAGAAGAAUGACAUUGAGAGUAACUGUUCAAUGUGUGACGGUUCUUA
rnacentral:rRNA from 1 species